AAAUUGAAGAGUUUGAUCAUGGCUCAGAUUGAACGCUGGCGGCAGGCCUAACACAUGCAAGUCGAGCGGAAACGAGUUAUCUGAACCUUCGGGGGACGAUAACGGCGUCGAGCGGCGGACGGGUGAGUAAUGCCUAGGAAAUUGCCCUGAUGUGGGGGAUAACCAUUGGAAACGAUGGCUAAUACCGCAUGAUGCCUACGGGCCAAAGAGGGGGACCUUCGGG
rnacentral:rRNA from 1 species